CCGGAUCAGUGGCAGUAAAACGUGACCCUGCGUCGUCGUGGAGGCGGAGCUCUGUGAUUGGUCCGUUGCUGUGAUUAUGCAGCUGUCAGGACAGUGGCAGUUCCCAGCUCAAACAGCGUAAAUAACAAGGAAGAGAAACGUGACGGAUUACGUAACGUGUCAAAGGGGUAAUUUGCUCCACUGGCUUCGGCGGCUGCUGCUGCUGCUAAACAACAACCAACAUUCUUCGUAGCUUCUUGAGUAAAUAUUCUGUGGCAACGACGACACUGAACACUGAACAUUCACAGUUGACUCUCUCCCGCAUGUUUCAAGACAGCGUCCCGUUGGUAAACGGCGACAACAGACUUGACUCGGGUGGGAGUGUGAAAAUAGGCCAUAAGCUGACACUAACCAUGGCCACAGUCCAAUACCAAGUUUACCAUCUCCGGGACUCACUUUACUGGGAUGAAACCGACUGCCUCAACUACUAUGGAAUGCUGUCUCUACAUGAAGUCUUUGAAAUAGUUGGUUCUCAGCUAACAGAGACUGAUAUUGAAGUGCUGUCAUUCAUUCUGAAUGAAACCUACCCCACACCACACCCUCUCAAUCCAGCAGGUUGGACUGUUGAUCCUUGUGAGGGCGAUCCAGAAGGCUUGGGAGUGUCCCCGAGUCCUGAGUUGCUAAAAGCCUGGAGGCGUCUAAAGCCUCGGGCCUCCCAGCAACCCUUAGUUGUUUCAUAUAAGUCCAAGAGUGGCCUUGAGCUGUUGCUUGAGCUGGAGAGGCGAGGAUACCUCAGUGAUGGCAACCUGGAGCCACUACUGGAACUACUUAGAGUUCUCACUCGUCAUGAUCUUCUGCCUUUAGUGUCCCACAAGAAAAGAAGGACAGUGUCUCCUGAGAGAACUGGGCGGAGGUGUGGAACAGAGAACAGGGAGUCGGUGUGUAUCUCUGGAAUGCGACAGACAGAGAUACCUUUACCAUAUUUCACACAGCAACUGAGAACCAGUAUUUACCCUCCAGUGCCUGAGCCACCUGCUAGGAGGAGGAGGAAGAAAAGAGGAAAUGGCUGGAGCCGUAGGCCCAAGAAAACAAGCAGACAUUGCCAGCCACAACUUCCAACACCACUACCACCGCCACCACAUAAGAUGUCAUGUGGUAAGUGCCAUUCCUACAUUCCUAACCUGUGUAAUUUAGUUUUUUUGUGUCUUCCCUUUUGCACUACUGUCACCACUUCCUUCAUAUUCAGUGUAUUAACAUCAUCCUCACCAACAACAUACUUUUUAUUUUGUUUUGUCAAUUUAUGUCUGAUGUUUAUUUUGCUCAGCUAAGGAGUUAGCAUGCAAAGUGUUUUUUUUUUUCAUACAUUUACUUUUUUUUACUGUUUUUUUAAAAAAAGACACCAAAUAUUAUACAAUUUUUACUGGCAAAAGGAAAGUUUAAAUAGCAGGAGUGAAAGUUUGAAAUAUUAACACACUGUUUCACACACAAGAAACCGAUCAAACGCUUUAUCCUUCUUAAAAAAUGCCCUGCUCACGAUAUGAAUCUCCAUGUUUUACGGUUGCUCUAGUUUACUGAAGUUUAUUUACAUAGAUUCCAAAUAAUUUAACACUGGGAGACUACAAACUGACCCACAACAGUUUCAUAAUGAUCCACAAAAUGUUCAACAUUACCUAACUUUGUUGUACCUGUUGGUUGUUUACUUGUCCAUAAACUCAUUUGCCAAAUCUUCUUUGGUCUUUUGAUCACAGUUGACAUUCGGAUAACCAAUGGUUUGCAGGAACCUUCUAUUUUCUUUAAGAAGUUCCUGGGCCUCAGAAUUGACUGGUGCUUGCUGUUAAAGUACAGUUUACUGUAUAAUCCAUUUGAUCCCAAGUAGCAGCUGGUACUGCACCAGCCACACCAAUGUUCUGGCUUCAUUGUAUGUCAGCAUUCUUUCAGAUUUUGACAGCUUUAAAAACCUAAAACUAAUUAUUUGUCUUUAAUAUGAAUUUGGUGAUACAGCUAGAGCUGAAACGAUGAAUCGAUUAUUAAUCGAUUACUAAAUUAAUCGACAACUAUUUUGAUAAUCGACAUUUGAGAUUAUCAUCAUCGUGUUUGAAGAACACCAAUCAACAUUUUUUAAGGUUUUCUGAUAUUUUAUGAACCAAACGAUUAAUCAAGAAAAUAAUCGACAGAUUAAUCGAUUAUGAAAAUAAUCGUUAGUUGCAGCUCUAGAUACAGCGUGGGUAUAAAAUGUGUAUUUACUACAUACAUUAAAACUGCAACAAAAACCUUUGUUAGUGAAGCUAACACCUUAUUAAUCAUCCACAUAAUACAUGAAACAUAAAGCUGUUUAACUUUCCUCUCAGUUUACUGACAUCUUUGACAAUGUUUAAAUGUUCCUCAUCUCCUUACCUGUAACAUCACCAUUAGGGCUGCAAUGACUAGUUGACUUAGAGUUGGCAAAAUUAGUUGACGACUAAUUUAGUAGUCGACGGGUUGUUAGUGACGUCAUCAUGUGUAUCCCACAGCAUGCAAUGCUACGCUCCACAAUGUUUCACCAUAGCCAAUUGUAGUAGCUCCAAGUGACUUUUCCCAAAUCUUUGAUGCACUGACAAUUGAUAACACAUGCACACUAGUGACUGGGAACAGAAUGGGAAGCAUCAGCAUGGAGGCGGCUGAAGUGAGCAUUUCGUAUGUGACGCAACUAAGAAAACUGUCACAUGCAAAAUAUGUAAGCUCGGGCUGUCAAAUGUACAUUCAAACGUAGGAUUAAAAGUUUGCAUUCAGACUAUGUUACUAUGUGUUCAAAUGUGAUAUAUGCAGGGCACAUCACAUGAAGUGACAGUCAGCAGAAGCGCAAACCGUGAGGAUAACUUGCAGCACAAUGCUGCUGCGCGCUGCAGCUGUCCGCUUCCGUGUACAAGCAAGUAACCAUCUCGUAGUGAGAUGUGUUGUAAAAAACACUUCUCCGUUCAAACUUAUUUUGGAAAAAACUGACAGCCCUAAUGUAACUGAACCUCAUGUACCAUGGUCCCUCUUCAGCAGUGCACACAUUUUUUUUGGAUGAUUGGUAAGAUAAUUAGCUUUUUCUUUUUGUGCAGCUCAUAAUCUGACUAGCUGACUAGUAGUCGAUGACUUGAAAUAGUCAUUAGUUGCAGCCCUAAUCACUGUCAGUGUCAAAAAUGUGCUUCCCUUUUUGUUUCUCCACAUGGGCCCUCUUUGCAUUCUUGUCCCCUCAUUUCAAAUGUGUCUAACCCACUGAACUCUGUUCUGCUGCUGCUGUGGACUGGUAGGUUGUCUCCUGUGCUUUUGCUUACUCUUAAGACUCUAUUCUUGAGAGGAGUUGUCUUUUUACAUCCAGGCUGGAUACAAAGUUGUCACAAGAGUCAACUGUCAGAUGUCGCAUAUCUUCCUGAGACGUGAUCAGUUGUGCAAAACAAACCCCAUAUGGAAAGCUGCACUGCAUAAUCAAUCAUCCAUUUCUGGUUCCACAUCUCAAAUAAUUUCUGUCUUUUUAAUCAGCCAAUACUCUCAAUAUACAAUAUUCAUGAUUGCUAACAUCAGUUGCUCUUGUGUGAAGUUUGCUCAGUCAUUCAUGUAGAUCCUUUCAAGCAUUUCUUUCAACCACCCACCAUUGCCUGUUGGUCAGAAAUACUUAUUUCAACAACGUCCUGAUGAUUCUAAAUUGAUUAAAAAUCAUUUAAUGAAGAAGACAGCCCCUCGUAGCUAUUCAGGAUGAGUGAUGUACCUGUGACAUGUUGCUGUCUUGACUCCACGUUUGAUUCCACCAGGUUGACUCAGGAUUGUGACUCGAGUAACCUAAGACACAAUGGAUCAUGGAGACUGAGGAACAAUACAAAAAAGUCUAUCACUCUACUCUGUCCAUACACACUGCGGUGUGUGAUCAACUCAGUCAUGCCCUCUCUCACAAGUCUGGGCCGAUGCCUAAGUUCUAAACAGACCAACCUGUGUGUCAGGAAAAGUGUCCUUACACACAAUGAGAGGGACAGAACGAACACAAAAUGCUCAAACUACGCAAAACAGUACAGAGAGGUGCUUUUUGUCUAUGGGGAUAGGAGAGUUUCUCAAUAUUCCCCUAACUCUCCACUCUCAGUCAGUCGUUCAGCAGAAAAACGGAUCGAUAAAGAGUUGAAGCUCUCCGUUCCAAGUGACUCCUCGUAAAUGGGUACUUAAACUUUUUUUUUUUGUGGGGUGAGAUGGAAGAUGCCAAAAGGGCUUGGUGUUUAAAGUGAGAAAAUGAAAGCUGUGCUUCCUAAUGUCCUGUCUAAGUGGAUGUCUCUGUGUCUGAUGAAGCGUGAAGUGCUCUGUAACCUUAACAAAAUGACUAUCACUGUGUUCCUGUGGUUCUUAACUGGUCUUCUCCUCAGCACCACUUGCUCUACCUCCAUCCUGCUCAGUGCUCGAGUUAAACGCAUUCUCUUACUGAUUUCUCAUCAUGCUGUCAUGUAGAAACUUAAUUCUUUUAUAAUAGUCAAUAGUCACAGUGGAUGGCAUUUUGAUGCAGGAUAAACAAUCACUGUGUCCAAAUUAAAUGUGGUUUAUUCUGCCUAAAAAUAAAUGUGAGCCACAGUUCUUGUGCUGAGUGCCGUGUUCCAAGGAUUUUCUCUGUA